CCUACGGGUGGCAGCAGUGAGGAAUAUUGGUCAAUGGACGGAAGACUGAACCAGCCAAGCCGCGUGAGGGAUGAAGGCACUGAGUAUUGUAAACUUCUUUUGUCAGGGGAUAAAGGCCGGUACGUGUCCCCGGAUGAGAGUAUCUUAAGAAUAAGCAUCGGCUAACUCCGUGCCAGCAGCCGCGGUAAUACGGAGGAUGCGAGCGUUAUCCGGAUUUAUUGGGUUUAAAGGGUGCGGAGGCGGUUUGUUAAGUUAGCGGUCAAAUGCCGGGGCUUAACCCCGGGCCUGCCGUUAAGACUGGCAGUCUAGAGAAGAGGGGAGGUAGGCGGAAUGCGUGGUGUAGCGGUGAAAUGCAUAGAGAUCGCGCAGAACUCCGAUUGCGAAGGCAGCAUGCCGGAUCAACACUGACGCUGAGGCACGAAAGCGUGGGUAGCGAACAGGAUUAGAUACCCGGGUAGUC
rnacentral:rRNA from 1 species